rnacentral:rRNA from 1 species
GAUGAACGCUGGCGGCGUGCCUAAUACAUGCAAGUCGAACGCUGGAGAUCUAGCUUGCUAGAUCGAAGGAGUGGCGAACGGGUGAGUAAUACAUAAGCAACCUACCCACGAAGACUGAGAUAAUCUCUGGAAACGGGGACUAAUACCGGAUAGGUAAUCGGAAGGCAUCUUCUGGUUAUUAAAGGUUAAAAACACUGGUGGAUGGGCUUAUGGCGCAUUAGUUAGUUGGUGAGGUAACGGCCCACCAAGACGAUGAUGCGUAGCCGGCCUGAGAGGGUGAACGGCCACGUUGGGACUGAGACACGGCCCAGACUCCUACGGGAGGCAGCAGUAGGGAAUUUUCGGCAAUGGGGGCAACCCUGACCGAGCAACGCCGCGUGAGUGAAGACGGCCUUCGGGUUGUAAAGCUCUGUUGUAAGGGAAGAACGGUAGAUAGAGAAUAUCUAAGUGACGGUACCUUACCAGAAAGCCACGGCUAACUACGUG